CAAAAGAACUAGUACUUUCAGUGAUUCCAAGGAAAUAAAGCAAAACCCAGCAGCAGUGGUGGAAUGCACACACCACGCACACAAUUUUUUUCCUCUUUUCAUGAAUCUUCCAUAUUUAAAAAAAUAACCAUUGUAGAGAUUGCUAGUCUUCCCAGUAUGCAUAUUCAGCAGGAUUAUCCUUCCUUGGGGUUUCUCUUCCUUGGCUUUUGUUUAUUGUUGGAUCAUGUAACCAGUUCUGACCAAUAAGUGGUGACCCAUGUGAUUAGAGAAAAUGGUCAGAAUUGCCUUGGAGCCACUGCAUUUAAUUUCCAGUGCAACCGUUCUAACACCAAGGAACUCCAAGUCUUGUGUUGAGAUUGAGGUACCUUAAAAUAGAAGCUUCCUGCACUGCUGAGCAGUGGGCCAGGAGGGCAGCUACCCUGAAGCUUGGCAUGCUAUAGAUUUUGUAUGAAAAGGAAAUAAACUUUUACUGGGUUAUGCCCUGAGAUUAUGGUGGUAUUUGCUGCCACGGCAUCACCUAGUCUAUUCCAACGAAUAUAGUAACACAUAUAACUUAUAUACUAUAUAUAACUUACAUACUAAAAAGAAUUAUUACCAGAGUUCCCUUAUAGUGCAGUAGGUUAAGGAUCCGGUGUUGUCACUGCAGCGGCUCUGCUUGCUGCUGUGCUGUGGGUUUGGUCCCUGGCCUGGGAAUUUCCACAUGCCUUGGGUGCACCCCCCAAAAAAAUUAUUGCUAUUCCAUGAAAUAUAAUCAAACAUGUACCGUAAUCAGAAAUGUUCCCAUUGUGGCUCAGCAGGUUAAAAACCCGACGUAGUGUCUCUGAGGAUGUGGGUUCGAUCCUUGGCCUUACUCAGUGGGUUAAAAAUCUGGCAUUGCCCCAAGUGGCAGCAUAGGUCGAAGACGUGGCUCAGAUCUGGUGUUGCCGUCGCUGUGGUGUAGGCCAGCAGCUGUGGCUCUGAUUUAACCCCUAGCCCAGGAACCCCAGUGUGGCUACAAAUUAAAAAAAAAAAAUGUUUGUAUCUGCAGUUUCCAUUGUGGUGCAGCGCAAACAAAUCCGACUAGGAACCAUGAGGUUGUGGGUUUGAUCCCUGGCCUCGCUCAGUGGGUUAAGGAUCUGGCAUUGCUGUGAGCUGGGGUGUAGUUUGCAGAUACGGCUCGGAUCUGGCUUUGCUGUGGCUGUGGUGUAGGCUGACAGCUGAAGCUCCGAUUCAACCCCUAGCCUGGGAACCUCCACAUAUUGUGGGUGCAGCCCUAAAAAGCCAAAAAAAAUAUUUUUUUAAAUGUCAAAUUAUGUUUGUAAUGAAUAAUCAUACUAAGAUUGAUUUGCAGUCAAGAUCGCUUUUUUCAAUGAAGGGAUAUUGGUUUGUAAUGAAUGAUUAGCUCAAUCAUAGACAUGUAGUAUUAUUGGGAGGGACCUCAAAGUUUUAUUUUGCACAUUCUCCAAGUUCAUAUAUAGAGAGGUAUUAAAAACCUCUCUACUACAAAAACCAUCUACUUCAAAUGAGUUGUCUAAACCAGUGGGUUUCCAAACCUUGCCAAGCUGAGUUACCAGGAGAAUGUAACAAAAAUUGAGACUCCUAAGUCACACCCUGGAGUUUUGGCUAAGGAGAUCUAGGAUAGGAGGACCUAGAAAUGGUGUUUUGAGACAUCUGCUGUGUGAUUUCAAUCACAGGUCUGGGACUCACAGGUUUAUUAGAGGAUGACUUUCAAAUUGCAUUUGUCAAUUCUUAAAAUUAAGCUUCAUUUCAAUUUUGUAUUCAUGUUAAAACUGAAAUCACUUUUGUAAAUUCAGGUCAAAUUCUCUAGAAGCAGAAUCCAAAAUGGGGAUUCAUGUGCAUGAGAUUUAUUAAAGCGGGCUCUCAGGAAAAACCUGUAAGGGAACGAAGAAAGCUGCACAGGGAGGGAGAAGAAGCCGCGUCAUAAUAUGAUUUCAGCAAAGUCUAGUCUCAGCAUGAUCUUGCAGGGACUUCAGAAGUGCAAAUUGCACCAUAGAGCUUAUCUCACCUUGAGUCAAGGAAGCUGGGCUUCUUCUGCACCCCCACCCCCACCACUGGGUAGUCAUUGGCCAUAGGCAGCCUUGGUUGGGGGGUAAUGUAAAUUGUGAGGGGGCUGUGAUCACCCAAAGAUAAUUUGGAGGUGGGGUUUGGUGAGCUCUUAGCUGGAAUUCAGUUGACAGCUGGGGAAUAAGUGUAUGAAACUGGAAGAGGGGAGCUCAGGGGCACCAAUAGCAUCUGCUAUAGUCUCCUUCUCCUAUCACUUAGGUCCACUUGCAUCUCAGGUUGAAUUCACUUCCUCUUGUCUUUGCUUCUCCAGGAUUCUGGAUGGCCACAAUUUGUAGUGAAAGAUACAAGAGAGGGAUGGAAUGAGUUACAGCCCCCAGUUCUGUAGCUGGCCUCCAGGCUGCCACUGACACUUACCAUUUUGCUUCUUUCUUCACCCAUUAGAACUUCUCUUCACCUUUGCUUACUUAGCAUCUUUGCUGGUCUAGGUGGUUUGACUUGGUGGAGUGACCUAGAUCUUGGGGCCAGGGGUUGGGGGACAUCUGAACCCCUUGUUAUCAUGUCUUUAUCAGGCCAUGAUUGUUUCCCAUUUAUGGUUAAACUUGGGCAUGAGAGGAGGAAGAAGAAGAAGAGAAUAUAUUUGCAAUAGUAGCAAAUUCUUUUUUUUUUUUUUUUUUUUUUGGUCUUUUUGCCAUUUCUUGGGCUACUCCCGUGGCAUAGAGAGGUUGCCAGGCUAGGGGUUGAAUCGGAGCUGUAGCCACCGGCCUAUGCCAGAGCCACAGCACUGCGGGAUCCGAGCUGCGUCUGCAACCUAUACCACAGCUCAUGGCAGCGCCGGGUCCUUAACCCACUGAGCAAGGCCAGAGAUCGAACCCGCAACCUCAUGGUUACUAGUCGGAUUCGUUAACCAUUGAGCCACGACGGGAACUCCAAUAGUAGCAAAUUCUUAGUGGUAAGAAUAGGUCACUCCUGGAAGUAUGAUGAAGCUUGCUUGGGCUGGUGGUGUACUGGCAUAAGGAGCACAACGUAUCCAGGAGGCAGCCAGAGUUUUAAGGUCAAUGAGACUCUUAACUGAUUCAUUCAUUUUAUUGAAAUAUAAUUGAUUUACAUUAUUGUGCUAAUUUCUGCUAUACAGAAAAUGAUUCAGCUAUAUAUAUGUAUAUAUGUGUAUAUAUACACAUACACAGCCCCAUUUCCAUUAUGGUUUAUCAUAGGAUAUUGAAUAUAGUUCCCUGUGCAACACAGUAAGACCUUGCUGUUUAUCCAUUCUAUAUACACCAGUUUGCAUCUGCUAAUCCCAAACUCCCAUUCCAUCCCUCCUUCCCCUUUUAUAACCACUAGUCUGUUCUCUAUGUCUGUGAAUGAGAUUCUUAUUUUGUUCCCUGGUAUAAACAAGCUCCUUCUCGGGACCAGGAUCUCUAGAUUCCUGAGUCCAGAGUUGAGGCUUGGGAAGCAGAUUCCCUAAGUGGGUCAUAGGAAGUAGAGGUGAGUGGGGGGCCCUCUUGUUUCUCUCUCUUGGUUCCUGGAUGGAAUAUUUUGCCCAUGAGGGACAUUCCACCUACAAGGGCUAUUGGUUUAAGGACACCUGACACCUUGCCUGCAUCUUUAAGAGGCUGUUUAAGCAGGAUCGGAUUAGCCACUUUGGGAUGUGUGAUAUGUGAUAAGACUAGUGGGUUCCACGUGCCCACUGUUUUCUUCUUUGGCCAUUAAUAGGGCUCCUUGGUCCAAGGCAAUAGUGUCCGUGGCUCCCUGUUGGUAAAUCAGCUACCAUGUGCAGGAAUGGGACUAGAAUGAGGAGAAUGAGGUGCCUAGGGUGCACACCUUAAGAUGACACUCUGUACUUUUUUGUAUUGUCUCCCCUGGAUCCUGGCCCUGUUCCAUGAGCCUUCGGAUACUGGCACUCAUGGAGACACUUUAGGCAAGAAAGGCAAAUGAUGUCCCCAGAAUAUGUGCCGGUCCUAGUCAGGAUGGAUUGCUGCCAUUUCCAGGAUGGAAGUUAUGGCUCAAAUGCCAGUAGGUGGCUGAUUGGCCUCCUUGAGGGAUGGUACCAUAUUGGGAGCCCGGGUUUUGGUCUCUGUUGCUGACAGCUUGGACAUGAGCAGUGGCGGUAGCCAGAUCAACCUUGGUGAGAGGGAUAUGGUGCUAUAGGGCCGGUGUCUAAUCUCCAUCUCUGUUGCCAUGACUGCUCCACUCACCAUCCCAUUGCACCAACACUGGAGUGGCCAAGGACAGAGGUUGGCUAACAUCUCCUGGAUCUUGUCCACUUGAUUGUUUCAUGCCUUUCCUGGAGCAGAAGCUCUCUGGUGGGUGCUGAUGUGGGGUACAAAGUGUACAUACAGUUCAUUGGCUUUUAAUAGCUUCACAGAGUUGCACAAACAUCCCCACAAUGUAAUUUUAGUCCAUUUCAUCACCCCAAAAAGAAACCCUGUACCCUUUAGCAGUUAUUCCCAUUCUUGGUCCUCUCCCCAUCCCCCAGUCCUAGCCCCAAGCAACCACUAAUCUCCUUUCUGUCUCUAUGGAUUUUUCUGUUCUGUGCAUUUCACAUAAACAAAAUCAUAGAAUUUGUGGUUUUUUGUGUCUGGCUUCUCGUACUGAACAUAGUGUUUGCAAGGUUCAUCUCUAACAUGUAUCAGUACUUCCUUAUUUUUUAUUGCCAAAUGUUGGCCAUUCUAUGGAUAUACAUUUGGUUUAUGCAUUCAUCAAAUGAUGUACAUUUAGGUUGUUUCCACGUAUUGGCAGUUAUGAAUAAUGCUGCUAUGAACAUUUGCGCACAGGUUUUUGAGUGGACAUAUUUUUUCAUUUCUCUUGGGUUGCUGGGUCAGAUGGUAACUCUAUCUUUAGCAUUUUGAGAAACUGCCAAACGUUCCCCACAGCGGCUUCGCCAUUUUAUAUUUCCACCAGCAAUGUAUGAGUGUUGCUCUUUUUCUACUGCAGAUGCCCUUAGAACCAUGGGAUCUGGGGGUCAUAUGGCCCAUGUGACAGGGUUGCUCGUUCUCCAGGCAGAACUUGCUGCAGAAACCCUCUCUUGCUUUGGGUUCUUCUCAAAACUGGCCUCCUUCCACAUCAUUCAAUAGAUAGGUCAGAGCAGGAUCCCCCCGUGUGAACUCUGCUGCUUCCAAAACCCCAAGAGGCUUACCAAGGCUCUUUCUUGGUGGCAGUAGGUAUAAGGAACAAUAGCCUGUCUUUUACUUUGAAGGGGAUGUCCUGACAAAUCACUGAACUCCCUAAAAACUUCACAGAUAGGGGAAGCAAGCCCCUGAAUAUUUGCGAUAUUAUCUCUUGGAUAUCCAGAUUAGUUCCCACUUCAUGAUGACCAGGUCUAGUUAAUAUGAUGUCAUCCAUGUAGAGGACCCAUAUGAUAUUUUCUGGAAUGUUCUGAUGGUCCAUGUCUCUUCAGAAUAUUUUGCAACAGAGGAGGUCCUGUUGUGGCCCAGUGGUAACAAACUUGACUCAUAUCCAUGAGGACAUGGGUUUGAUGCCUGGCCUCGCUCAGUGGGUUAAAGGAACUGAUGUUGCCGUGAGCUGUGGUAUAGGUUGCAGAUGUGGCUCAGAUCUGCGUUGCUGUGGUUGUGGUGUAGGCUGGCAGCUGCGGCUCUGAUUUGACCCCUAAGCUGGGAACUCCUAUAUGCUGCAGGUGUGGCCUUAAAAAGACCAAAAAAAAAAAAAAUUUUUUUUUUGCAACAGAGAGCAUAAUUGUUAUAUACUUUUGCCUGUCAUACCUGAAGCAAAAUCCUUCCAGUCCUGCUUCCUGGUGGGUAUUAAAAAUAAUGCAUUUGCCUCAUCAAAAGCCAUACCAUGUACCAGAGGCCAUGUUACUAUGUUCUAGUGAAGAUGGCAGAUCUAGCACAGCAGUUGUACUUGGUACUGCUUCAGUCAGUAGUCCAUUGUCAUCUGCCGUGUUCAUUUGCUUUUACAAAGGCCAGACUAGUGAAUCAAAUGGACAUAUGGGCAAGACAACAACCUCUGCAUCAUUUAAAUCUUCAAGGAUAGUACUAAUCUUUGCUAUUCCCCUGGGAAUGCAAUGUUGUUUUUUUAUUUAUUAUUUUGUCUCAAAGAGGGUAUAGUUUCAGGGACUUCCAUUUGAUCUUUCACUCUAUAGUGGCUUUUACUCUAUAGGCCAAGGAACCAAUAUGGGCUUUUGCUAACUGCUAGGUAAUAUCGUUCCAAUUAUAUAUUUAAGAGCUGGGGAGAUGGUUACCAGUUGGUCUGUGGACUUGGUGGGUUCACUGUUGAGAUGGACUUGACCCAGGAUUCCAUUUAUUACUUCACCUUCAUCUGCUAUUUCUGUUAUAGGGGGCAGUGAUGGUGCUUUGGAUCCCUGGUGUCAGUUCAGACUCUGUAAAUAACAGCCCAAAGAUCUAGGUAUUUCUUUUAACCCAAACAUUGUACUACAGUUACCCAAAUACUGGCAGUUACCCAAAUACUUUGAGAAAGGACUGGAGGAAUCACUACUAUCCACACUUAUUUUAGGGUGUGUCCCCAAGGGGACUCAGCCUUUCUGUCUUUUAAAAAAUUAAAAUAUGGAUUUUUUUAAAAAAGCUUUUUUUGGGAAACAAUUUCAAACUUACAGAAAAAUUGUAUGACAAGUACAAAGAAAUUUUGCAUGGU
rnacentral:lncRNA from 1 species